ACGAUACGCGCCUUUUCCAUCGACGUGGAAGACAAACCAGUUCUUGCUUCUGCUGCUGUCAGCUGUUUCUCCAGAUGUGUAGCACCUGUAUUUGGAUGGAUAUCCGAAUAGGGGUGACACUAAUAAUAUUUGCAACAACUUCUGUUUUACUUUGGGUUUUCUGACUUACUGCUCUGUUCCUUUAAGUGUCUCUGCUUGCUGGCUGGAACAAAAUUGCUGGCGUUUCUCCUAAGUUCAGUACAAUUAACAUACUUGCAGAAGAAGUUUAGCACUGUAAAGAGUCUACAUAAUACGUGGAGUACAGAUUAACCAUUGAUAGGAUUACUCCACAAACAAAAGAGUGGACAUCAAAGGUACAACUGAUUGAGAAACCGCGGCCAAGGCAAAGUAAAGAUGGAAAGAUGCGAUUCCAGAUUGCUGUUGUCCGAGAUGAAAAAGAAGAGCAAGUAGCCGCUGUUCUGUACGGGGAAGACAUAGAAAAGUAUGCAGACAAGCUCACCCCGUUUUCCACUUACUUGAUAUCAAUGCAAAAGUGAUGGUUCCUUUACCCUACGGAGUGCCUAUCAACCGUUUUGAAUGGGUUAUUGACAAAUUCACUGUCGUCGAAAAGGUGAAAGAUGAUAACAUACAAGACCCACCGCUCCUGCCACCGACGAGGUUGAAUAUUGUACCCUUUGCCUUUGCACGAGCAGCAGCGAAAUACCGAAUUUGGUACCCAUUAUUUAACGCGUAGUAUAUUCUAACAAUUAAAAUUUAUUUGUAUCCUUAGAUUCUGAAACUGUGUACAUUGGUCUAAAUUAUAAGUCAUUUGCAAUGUUCACUAAACAGACAU